AGAGUUUGAUCCUGGCUCAGAGUGAACGCUGGCGGCAUGCCUAACACAUGCAAGUCGAACGGUAACAGGCCCGCAAGGGUGCUGACGAGUGGCGGACGGGUGAGGAACACAUCGGAAUUUGCCCAGUCGUGGGGGAUAACGUAGGGAAACUUACGCUAAUACCGCAUACGACCGAGAGGUGAAAGCGUGGGAUCGCAAGACCUCGCGCGGCUGGAUGAGCCGAUGUCGGAUUAGCUUGUUGGCGGGGUAAAGGCCCACCAAGGCGACGAUCCGUAGCUGGUCUGAGAGGAUGAUCAGCCACAUUGGGACUGAGACACGGCCCAAACUCCUACGGGAGGCAGCAGUGGGGAAUAUUGGACAAUGGGGGCAACCCUGAUCCAGCAAUGCCGCGUGUGUGAAGAAGGCCUUCGGGUUGUAAAGCACUUUUAUCAGGAACGAAACGCGCUUGGUCAAUAGCCAGGUGAACUGACGGUACCUGAGGAAUAAGCACCGGCUAACUUCGUGCCAGCAGCCGCGGUAAUACGAAGGGUGCAAGCGUUACUCGGAAUUACUGGGCGUAAAGGGUGCGUAGGUGGUUGUUUAAGUCUGCUGUGAAAGCCCCGGGCUCAACCUGGGAAUGGCAGUGGAUACUGGGCAGCUAGAAUGCGGUAGAGGGUAGUGGAAUUCCCGGUGUAGCAGUGAAAUGCGUAGAGAUCGGGAGGAACACCAGUGGCGAAGGCGGCUACCUGGACCAGCAUUGACACUCAAGCACGAAAGCGUGGGGAGCAAACAGGAUUAGAUACCCUGGUAGUCCACGCCCUAAACGAUGCGAACUGGACGUUGGGAGCAAUUUGGCUCUCAGUGUCGAAGCUAACGCGUUAAGUUCGCCGCCUGGGGAGUACGGUCGCAAGACUGAAACUCAAAGGAAUUGACGGGGGCCCGCACAAGCGGUGGAGUAUGUGGUUUAAUUCGAUGCAACGCGAAGAACCUUACCUGGUCUUGACAUGUCGCGAAUCGUGCAGAGAUGCGCGAGUGCCUUCGGGAAUGCGAACACAGGUGCUGCAUGGCUGUCGUCAGCUCGUGUCGUGAGAUGUUGGGUUAAGUCCCGCAACGAGCGCAACCCUUGUCAUUAGUUGCUACGAAAGGGCACUCUAAUGAGACUGCCGGUGACAAACCGGAGGAAGGUGGGGAUGACGUCAAGUCCUCAUGGCCCUUAUGGGUAGGGCUUCACACGUCAUACAAUGGUACAUACAGAGGGCCGCCAACCCGCGAGGGGGAGCUAAUCCCAGAAAGUGUAUCGUAGUCCGGAUUGUAGUCUGCAACUCGACUACAUGAAGUUGGAAUCGCUAGUAAUCGCGGAUCAGCAUGUCGCGGUGAAUACGUUCCCGGGUCUUGUACACGCCGCCCGUCACACCAUGGGAGUGGGUUGCUCCAGAAGGCGUUAGUCUAACCGCAAGGAGGACGACGCCCACGGAGUGGUCCAUGACUGGGGUGAAGUCGUAACAAGGUAACC
rnacentral:rRNA from 1 species